AGCUGGUGUUGUGAAUCAUGCCG
rnacentral:ncRNA from 2 species